AGUGAACGCUGGCGGCGUGCUUAACACACGCAAGUCGAACGAGAACGGAAUAUAGCUUGCUAUAUUUGUCAGCUAAGUGGCGCACGGGUGAGUAAUGUAUGGAUAACCUGCCCUUAAGAAAGGAAUAACAGUUGGAAACGACUGCUAAUGCCCUAUAUGCCUUUAAUACAUAAGUAUGCAAGGGAAACGCUUUAGUGCUUAAGGAUGGGUCUGUAUGGUAUCAGCUUGUUGGUGAGGUAAUGGCUCACCAAGGCUAUGACGCCUAACUGGUUUGAGAGGAUGAUCAGUCACACUGGAACUGAGACACGGUCCAGACUCCUACGGGAGGCAGCAGUGGGGAAUAUUGCACAAUGGACGAAAGUCUGAUGCAGCAACGCCGCGUGGAGGAUGACACAUUUCGGUGCGUAAACUCCUUUUAUAUAGGAAGAUAAUGACGGUACUAUAUGAAUAAGCACCGGCUAACUCCGUGCCAGCCGCCGCGGUAA
rnacentral:rRNA from 1 species